UCUGGUGUCAGCCGCCGCGGUAAAACCAGCACCUCAAGUGGUCAGGAUGAUUAUUGGGCCUAAAGCAUCCGUAGCCGGCUCUGUAAGUUUUCGGUUAAAUCUGUACGCUCAACGUACAGGCUGCCGGGAAUACUGCAGAGCUAGGGAGUGGGAGAGGUAGACGGUACUCGGUAGGAAGGGGUAAAAUCCUUUGAUCUAUUGAUGACCACCUGUGGUGAAGGCGGUCUACCAGAACACGUCCGACGGUGAGGGAUGAAAGCUGGGGGAGCAAACCGGAUUAGAUACCCGGGUAGUCCCAGCUGUAAACUAUGCAAACUCAGUGAUGCAUUGGCUUGUGGCCAAUGCAGUGCUGCAGGGAAGCCGUUAAGUUUGCCGCCUGGGAAGUACGUACGCAAGUAUGAAACUUAAAGGAAUUGGCGGGGGAGCACCACAAGGGGUGAAUCCUGCGGUUCAAUUGGAGUCAACGCCAGAAAUCUUACCCGGAGAGACAGCAGAAUGAAGGUCAAGCUGAAGACUUUACCAGACAAGCU
rnacentral:rRNA from 2 species